UACGGAGGGGGCUAGCGUUGUUCGGAAUUACUGGGCGUAAAGCGCACGUAGGCGGCUUUGUAAGUUAGUGGUGAAAGCCCGGGGCUCAACCCCGGAAUUGCCUUUAAGACUGCAUCGCUAGAAUUGUGGAGAGGUAAGUGGAAUUCCGAGUGUAGAGGUGAAAUUCGUAGAUAUUCGGAAGAACACCAGUGGCGAAGGCGACUUACUGGACACAUAUUGACGCUGAGGUGCGAAAGCGUGGGGAGCAAACAGG
rnacentral:rRNA from 1 species